rnacentral:lncRNA from 1 species
GAAGAAGGUACCUGAUCCCCUGGAGCUGGAAUUAUAGGUAGUUGUGAGUUGUCCAGUGUGGGUGCUGGGAACUGAACUCUGGUCCUUUGGAAGAGCAGAAAGUGCUCUUAACUGCUGACCUGUCUCCCCAGCUCCUUCAAUUUUAAUUUUUUGACAUUAGGUAGACCAAGGAAGUAGAACUACAGAACCAAACUGUAAGCACACAGGACUCUCAAAAGUGAGAGUAACCGAGAGCCUCCAGGGACAGAGUGGAAGAGGAUGACUAAUAAGGGCUGUGGAGAUUCAGAGAGAUGGAGCUGAGGGGGAAGUGUGGACAAAGGGAGUCAGCAAUAGAUAGGAAUAGAGCAAGAGGGCAGCAAGGAUGGGGGUAAGAGAGUGAGAGGGAGGGCAUAACAUGGGGAGAGGGAGGGGAGAGAGAGAGAAAGAGAGAGAGAGAGAAUAGCAAGAGUCAGAGCAGAAAUAAAGAAAUGUGAACAAGUCACACAGAUUACAGGAAGAAUGAGAAGCUGGGUGGAGGGAAGGACAGGAUGCUCCUGUGGUCUUUUGAGCUGUAUCACAGGUACUAGUGAUACCGGGGGGAGUCUGGAGGCCAGCAUGGGCUUCUGUAUGCUGAUUGAUGCCACAGGUAUCUAGAAGUAAGGAGAAAGAUUCCUUCCUGGAAGAUGGGAACAGGUUUCACAGGUUCCUGAGAAAUGCUGGGGGUUUUUUUCUAACAGCCAGAAAUCUCUAUAUAGUCCUGAUUGAGCUCACUUCUAGAUAUAUGGUCUACCUAAGACAGAGACAGAGGUUUGGUUCCAACACGCACAUCAAAACGGCUCACAAGCAUCCUUAACUCUAGUUAGUUCUAAUGGAUACAGCACCCUCUUCUGGC